rnacentral:rRNA from 1 species
CGGCCCACCAAACCGACGAUCAGUAGCCGGCCUGAGAGGGCGACCGGCCACAUUGGGACUGAGACACGGCCCAAACUCCUACGGGAGGCAGCAGUGGGGAAUAUUGCACAAUGGGGGAAACCCUGAUGCAGCGACGCCGCGUGAGCGAAGAAGUAUUUUCGGUAUGUAAAGCUCUAUCAGCAGGGAAGAUAAUGACGGUACCUGACUAGAGCCCCGGCUAACUACGUGCCAGCAGCCGCGGUAAUACGUAGGGGGCAAGCGUUAUCCGGAUUUACUGGGUGUAAGGGAGCGUAGACGGCAAGGCAAGUCUGAUGUGAAAACCCAGGGGCUUAACCCUGGGACUGCAUUGGAACUGUCUGGCUCGAGUGCCGGAGAGGUAAGCGGAAUUCCUAGUGUAGCGGUGAAAUGCGUAGAUAUUAGGAAGAACACCAGUGGCGAAGCGGCUUACUGGACGGUAACUGACGUUGAGGCUCGAAGCGUGGGGAGCAAAC